rnacentral:lncRNA from 1 species
GGAGAAAAUAUCCAUCAUUUAUAUAAGAAAAAGAUAAGGAGGAAAAAGGGGUGAGGAGGAAGAGGAGGGAGAAGAAGGGGUCUCCGAUGAGAAAAAGGGAGAGGUGAAGGGAGGCACCAUGGAGGGAAAGGAUGGGGUUGUGGAGGUCAGCAUGGAGGGGGAUGGCUGCAUCGAAUGCCUCAUGGUAGGAUUGAACGAGGAGGACAAGGAGGAGAAAGGAAAAGAAAAGGAUCAGCUCAUAAAAUUGAGUAAAUCAAGGACUAACUUUCAUAUCCUCUCUAUUUUUCAAAAUCAUGACUAAAAGGGUAUACCUUUUAGGUGA